rnacentral:lncRNA from 1 species
AGAUUUUUCUGCAGAAUUUGCAGUUUUGGAAGAACUCACACCCCUAAGUUUCAUUUUAGGCCUUUUGGUGAACUUUGGACACUCCUAAUUCGAAAUAUANGUUGAAUCUAACUUGCCUAAGGGUCUAUAUUUAAUCUUAACACUAAUCUUUAACAUUUAUGCAGAGAAUUAGGAUCAAUUCUACUAUUUCAUUCAUUUAGGGANUGAAUUUGGAUCUUACUAUCUAGAAACUGUUAUAGGUCAGUUUAAAGCUCCUAACAAGUCAGAAAUGACUUAACUAAGUUAUGCUAAUGGUCUAAAUCUACCCCUAACCCCUAACUUACGAAAUCACCCNUCCACUUCCCUAAUAUUAUCUUGACUACUAUAGUUAACAUCUGUCAUUUAACUAGCUACCUGCAUCACUGAAAUUACAACCUCUCAACACUCAAAUUCAUCUCAUAAAAUUAGACAUACAGAUUUCCUAAUCCAUCCCAUACCCAAUUUCAUAAUUCACC